GACGAACGCUGGCGGCGUGCUUAACACAUGCAAGUCGAACGGUGAAGUAGAGCUUGCUCUAUGGAUCAGUGGCGAACGGGUGAGUAACACGUGGGCAACCUGCCCCAGACUCUGGGAUAACUCCUCGAAAGAGGGGCUAAUACCGGAUAUUUGCAUUGCAAGACAUCUUGUGAUGCAGAAAGAAUUUCGGUCUGGGAUGGGCCCGCGGCCUAUCAGCUUGUUGGUGAGGUAACGGCUCACCAAGGCGACGACGGGUAGCCGGCCUGAGAGGGCGACCGGCCACACUGGGACUGAGACACGGCCCAGACUCCUACGGGAGGCAGCAGUGGGGAAUAUUGGGCAAUGGGCGCAGCCUGACCCAGCAACGCCGCGUGAGGGAUGAAGGUCCUCGGAUUGUAAACCUCUUUCAGCAGGGACGAAGCGAAAGUGACGGUACCUGCAGAAGAAGCACCGGCUAACUACGUGCCAGCCGCCGCCGUAA
rnacentral:rRNA from 1 species